UCCAACUAAAUGACAGAGAAUACGAAUAGGUUUGGAGAGCACCUCACACAGAGCCCGCACACCGUUGGGAAUGGAACCAGAGAAAACCACCAGGUCUAUUUCCAGGAAAACAAAAGGUUUUGCUGUAGUUCAUUCCAUGACAUUGCGACCCAAAUGCCGACCAGUGGAGGCUCAGGAACCUGCCCGGCUGUGGCCUGGAGCGUGGCUUUGGUGCCCAGCAGAUCUGGUCUGGAGCCCAGCCCUCCUGCUCACCAGCUGUGUGGCCUUGGACGGAAGCAGCGGUUUCUGAACUGGCCCACAGAGAAACGGGCCCGUUCCUGCACCUCCUUAGUGGACCCUCGAGGUGGCGCUGGUGAACGGGACAGCAUCUCUGGUCCAUAUUCAUUAUUGGAGGUAAACAACAGACAAGGUGUAAACCCACAACAGAACCGAAGAGGGACUCGCCCCAAGAGCAACAGAUGGCCGCCCCGCCGUGCUCCCCGGAGCCACUGGAAGCGAGCGCGGAGCCAGACUCGGGAGGGGCGGGCGAGGGGGGUGCGGGCGGGGACGGCCCGGAGCGAGGGCCCAUGCGCCUCUGACGCGUGUGCGCGGGGGGAACCAGGACAGUUCUGA
rnacentral:lncRNA from 1 species